GAUGUGAUGGAGCAAGGAGAGUUAUGCGCAUGUGAGGGAGAGAAAAGAGAGGAAGAGAAGUACAGAUGGAGAGAGAAAGGGGGGCAGGGAGAGAGAGAGAGAGAGAGAGAGAUUGAAAGAUUCUACCCUGCUGGCUUUGAAGAUGGAGGAAGGCGCCCUGAGCCAAGGAAUACAGGAAGCCUUUAAAUGCCGGAAAAGGCAAGAAAACAGAUUUACCUCUAGAGCCUCUGUAGGAGACAGCCUGCAAAAGUGACUCCUUGAUUUUAGCUGAGUGAGACUGGUUUUGGACUUCUGACCUCCAGAACGGGUAAAAUGGAAGUACUCUUAGACACCCACGUAAUAGAUCUUGAGAGAAUCCAUGUGACAUUAUCCAAUGAGUGCUUCAAAUAUUUCUGAUAAGUUCUUGCUCUGUCGCCCAGGCUGAAGUGCAGUGGUGGGAUCAUGGCUCACUGUAGUCUCAACCUCUUUGGACUCCAGUGAUCCUCCCACCUCAGCCUCCUGAGUAGCUGGGACAAGAGAUGUCGCAUGUAAGAAAAAAUUCAGCAAGAGACCACCAGAAGCAGAGAGGAGCAAACACAUUUCAACACUAAGGCAACUGUCUCUCUUGGAUUCCAUUAGAGCAGAGUAAGUGCAAGUUUUCUGCCAACCCAGGAUUAGGCCCUACAGCUACAGUGAAAAGAAUCUCAGGUGAAGACUCAGGAAUAAAAACAGAGAAAGAGAUUACAGGCUAAAAUUACUAGAAAUCCUCAGAAAACAAAGAAGGAAAAAGAAACCAGAAAAACCAUCAGCCCAGUUAAUUAAAUCAAGGAGUGACCGGGAGAUCCAGUUUAUUAAAAGAAUGGAAAUUUCUUGAAUUUGAAGAGUCGAGGACGAACAAUCAGGAAUAGUCUAAAGCAACUGCCCAGUGUCCAAAGCACAGGAGCAUAAAGAAGAGCUGGCAAGAGUGUCUCCAGAUGGUGACAAGCUUGCAGACUUUUACUGGACUACUUUGAGGCCAACAAGCCAACCCUGGCCCUCUACUUAUGCAGAAGGCCUACACAGGAUUCUGGGAUACACAUGGAAGGACGACAUCUUUUCAGGUUCUCUCUUUACAGAUGUGAGUGUCCUUCCAAUUCCUGAGUUCUAACUCCAGGCUUGUGUUUUGAGGGGCUCCUCUGAGCCACAUGGAAGAUCCUCGGGUACCCCAAUGGAGCCCUGGAACAUAAGGCCUCCAUAGUCAGCUCCAUGCCUGUUUCCUUUUUCCCAGAGACCCCCAGCCCCCAUCAGCAGUGGUCAACCUCUUCUGAUUCUGCUCCAGAUCUUGAAUUUAGAGACAGUUACAACCUGGAUCCCAAUUCUGUUUGAAAGCAAAAGAAUAACAUAAUCAUCAAUACUCUGGUGCAUGACUCUACCCAGCCCAAUGUAAUGAAAAUAACACUGUGAAAAAAUGAAUAAUCCUGACCCCCUGCCAAAAAAAGACUGAGCAUUACAGAUAUGCCAGAUAAUAUCCAUGUAAAUAAAAAUAAGCUCAAUUUUAAUGU